AGCGAACGCUGGCGGCGUGCCUAACACAUGCCAGUCGAACGUGAAAAGGGAAACCUGAGUAAAGUGGCUUACGGGUGAGUAACGCGUAGGUAAUCUACCCCAGAAUCUGGAAUAACCUGCCGAAAGGCGGGCUAAUACUGGAUAGAGCGAGGGAACUCGUAAGAGAGUUUUUCGGGAAAGGGAGCCCGCAAGGGCCUUCGUUCUGGGAUGAGCCUGCGUCUCAUUAGCUAGUUGGUAAGGUAACGGCUUACCAAGGCGAUGAUGAGUAGCUGGUCUGAGAGGAUGAUCAGCCACACUGGAACUGAAACACGGUCCAGACUCCUACGGGAGGCAGCAGUGGGGAAUCUUGCGCAAUGGACGAAAGUCUGACGCAGCCACGCCGCGUGAGUGAAGAAGGCCUUCGGGUUGUAAAGCUCUGUCGGAUGGGACGAACAUCUUCAUAGUGAAUAGCUAUGAGGACUGACGGUACCAUCAAAGGAAGCACCGGCUAACUCCGUG
rnacentral:rRNA from 1 species